CAGGCCUAACACAUGCAAGUCGAGGGGUAACAAGAGGAAAGCUUGCUUUUCUUGUUGACGACCGGCGCACGGGUGAGUAACGCGUAUCCAACCUGCCUAUAACUAGGGAAUAACCUUGCGAAAGUAAGACUAAUACCCUAUGAUUUCCUUUGAUGACAUCAGAUUAGGAAUAAAGAUUUAUCGGUUAUAGAUGGGGAUGCGUCUGAUUAGCUUGUUGGCGGGGUAACGGCCCACCAAGGCAACGAUCAGUAGGGGUUCUGAGAGGAAGGUCCCCCACAUUGGAACUGAGACACGGUCCAAACUCCUACGGGAGGCAGCAGUGAGGAAUAUUGGUCAAUGGGCGAAAGCCUGAACCAGCCAAGUAGCGUGCAGGAUGACGGCCCUAUGGGUUGUAAACUGCUUUUAUACAGGAAUAAAGUUAGCCACGUGUGGUAUUUGUAGGUA
rnacentral:rRNA from 1 species